rnacentral:rRNA from 1 species
AACGCGAAGAACCUUACCUGGGCUUGACAUGUUCCUGACAGCCGUGGAAACACGGCCUCCCUUCGGGGCAGGAUCACAGGUGGUGCAUGGCUGUCGUCAGCUCGUGUCGUGAGAUGUUGGGUUAAGUCCCGCAACGAGCGCAACCCCCGUCGCAUGUUGCCAGCAUUUAGUUGGGGACUCAUGCGAGACUGCCGGUGACAAACCGGAGGAAGGUGGGGAUGACGUCAAGUCAUCAUGCCCCUUAUGUCCAGGGCUACACACGUGCUACAUUGGCGCGUACAGAGGGCUGCGAUACCGCGAGGUGGAGCGAAUCCCUUAAAGCGCGUCUCGGUUCGGAUUGCAGGCUGAAACUCGCCUGCAUGAAGGCGGAGUUGCUAGUAAUCGCGGAUCAGCAUUGCCGCGGUGAAUACGUUCCCGGGCCUUGUACACACCGGAGUA